CAGCGCCACGAGUGGCAAUCGCUUUUAUUGGGCCUAAAGCGUCCGUAGCCGGUUUGUUAAGUCUUUUGUGAAAUUGUUCAGCUUAACUGAACAACGUGCAGAGGAUACUGAUAAACUUGAGACCGGGAGGGGUUAGAGGUAUUCCUUGGGUAGCGGUAAAAUGCUAUAAUCCUUGGAGGACCACCUGUGGCGAAGGCGUCUAACCAGAACGGAUCUGACGGUGAGGGACGAAAGCUAGGGGAGCAAUCCGGAUUAGAUACCCGAGUAGUCC
rnacentral:rRNA from 1 species